ACGAAGGCCCUUGGGUCGUAAACUCCUUUUACGAGAGAAGAAUGAGCCGCAAGGCUUUUGACGGUAUCUCGUGAAUAAGCCACGGCUAACUACGUGC
rnacentral:rRNA from 1 species